UCCAUGUUAGGGAUACUCCCUAACACUUUGGAGCUAGAGAGCCUGAUUUAUUUUUUUCUGUUUUUACUGUCUUAUCUCUGUUUUCUUGAGAUGCAUAGGAGCCUGACUCUGGGGCCUUUCCCUUAUCUUUCCCUGCCUAGCCCCGUCUGCCCCUAACUUGUUCUGACGUUAGUUGGACAUCUAUCUUUUUGGUUUUGAAACAGGAAUUUCAUAGUGUGGAAGGUUUAAAUUCACAGCGGGGGAGAAAAGUAGUAGCCCACAGGAGACCAUAUGUCUUACAGCUGAAGAAAGGGUGAAAUACAUAAUACAUGAUAUAUUUAGGACCUGAGAACCUGCUCUUUGAAAUGUAAUCACCAAGGAAAAAUCAUCCCUAUCCCACAGUCACCCUGGGAGGACAGGCCUCUACCUCUAAUUUGCAGAACUACCUCUUGUGAUAAAGAUAUGAGAAGUUUAUUUUCCCUUUGGAUAAAGCAAAUUGGU